GAGGGUAUAGCUCAGUGGUACAGCAUGUGCUUAGCAUGCAUGAAGUCCGGGUUCAAUCCCCAGGACCUCCA
rnacentral:tRNA from 1 species